GUCGCAGUGGUUUAGUGGUAAAAUUCGUGCUUGCCAUGCACGAGCCCCGUGUUCGAUUCACGGCUGCGACA
rfam:Aureobasidium pullulans var. pullulans EXF-150 unplaced genomic scaffold scaffold_14, whole genome shotgun sequence.